AGCUAUAAUGCAGUCGAGCGAAUGGAUUAAGAGCUUGCUCUUAUGAAGUUAGCGGCGGACGGGUGAGUAACACGUGGGUAACCUGCCCAUAAGACUGGGAUAACUCCGGGAAACCGGGGCUAAUACCGGAUAACAUUUUGAACUGCAUGGUUCGAAAUUGAAAGGCGGCUUCGGCUGUCACUUAUGGAUGGACCCGCGUCGCAUUAGCUAGUUGGUGAGGUAACGGCUCACCAAGGCAACGAUGCGUAGCCGACCUGAGAGGGUGAUCGGCCACACUGGGACUGAGACACGGCCCAGACUCCUACGGGAGGCAGCAGUAGGGAAUCUUCCGCAAUGGACGAAAGUCUGACGGAGCAACGCCGCGUGAGUGAUGAAGGCUUUCGGGUCGUAAAACUCUGUUGUUAGGGAAGAACAAGUGCUAGUUGAAUAAGCUGGCACCUUGACGGUACCUAACCAGAAAGCCACGGCUAACUACGUGCCAGCAGCCGCGGUAAUACGUAGGUGGCAAGCGUUAUCCGGAAUUAUUGGGCGUAAAGCGCGCGCAGGUGGUUUCUUAAGUCUGAUGUGAAAGCCCACGGCUCAACCGUGGAGGGUCAUUGGAAACUGGGAGACUUGAGUGCAGAAGAGGAAAGUGGAAUUCCAUGUGUAGCGGUGAAAUGCGUAGAGAUAUGGAGGAACACCAGUGGCGAAGGCGACUUUCUGGUCUGUAACUGACACUGAGGCG
rnacentral:rRNA from 1 species